ACACUCUCAGAAAAAUGGUACACGAUGGUACAAAUAAUGUUCCUCAAAGAACAGUUUUGUACCUUUUCAAUAACUGUACCUUUAAUGGUACAGUAAAGACCUCUGAUGAUACUGUUGGGCACCUUUGAAGGCACAACUGAAAUAAAGGCAUAGCAACAAGACUCUGAUUGGUCGAAAUCGCUGCGGCCGUUACAGAAUUUUCAAACAGAACAGAGAGCGGGAAGCAGACUACUUUUGCCCUUUUAUCAACAGAAAAGCUCUUUGAGAAUGGAUUGUAAAUUUUAAUCUUGAAGACGACGAGAUUUAAAGGCAUAGCAACACAAGACUUGACUGGCCGAAGUCGCAGCAGCCGUUAACGGAAUUUUUAAACCGCAGAGAGCGGGAAGCAGUGCGCCGCUGCGCCGGUCUACAGCGCCAGCACAACCAGGACCUCGGCUUCUUUAUCGUCGGAGGAACUUCAUAAGCUAAAGCGAGGCUUGACUCCAAUUAUCAGACGGAGAAAGAAGGAAAUUCAAAGGUGAAGACUGUCUACUGUUGGGGAGGAUGCUAUUUCAUGCCCAUGUGAAGACUUUGCAGGACCAGAAGAAGACCACCAGAAAUUGGCCCAAUGUAUACCGUAACUGAUUGAAGGUGUUUACCGGGUUCCUUAAAGGUUAAGUUCACC